rnacentral:rRNA from 1 species
UACAGAGGUCUCAAGCGUUGUUCGGAUUCAUUGGGCGUAAAGGGUGCGUAGGCGGCGCGGUAAGUCGGGUGUGAAAUCUCGGGGCUUAACUCCGAAACUGCAUUCGAUACUGCCGUGCUUGAGGACUGGAGAGGAGACUGGAAUUCCUGGUGUAGCGGUGGAAUGCGCAGAUAUCAGGAGGAACACCGGUGGCGAAGGCGGGAUCCUGGGCCAGUACUGACGCUGAGGUGCGAAAGCGUGGGGAGCAAACAGG